AAGGUAGGGUCAGCGAUUGGGGUGAAGUCGUAACAAGGUAGCCGUAGGAGAACCUGCGGCUGGAUCACCUCCUUUCUA
rnacentral:rRNA from 1 species